rnacentral:lncRNA from 1 species
CGAUAGAACCGUUAGGUGUGAGCACCGGAAGUUCUAGUGAAAGAGUACGAGUGGGUUUGAGAUAAGUGGGGGAGAAGGUUAUAUACAUCCGAGAUGUUUCGAACGUGAGAAGAUAGGAUGAGUAGAGAUGUUCGUGAAGCGGAAUAUUCAGGAAUUGGUGACGUUGUUCGAAGUGGAAAGAAUGGGAGCAACAAGUUGUGAGAAACUACUAGAAGGGAAGUUGUCAGACCAAGUGUUUCGCUGUAGGGGCGUUAGUGAGAUUGGUUAAGUGAGAUGUAGAGUAAUCGGAAUGGUUGGAGAUCGUGUGUUGCACUAAAAGUAUGGAGGCGUGUUUUGUGGACCAAAGUUGAAGUACCUGUUUGAUCGGAAGGAGUCGAAUAUGAGGAAGAGGAAGUGAUUAGGAUUCUUGAGGAGAUGAUGAUUUU